UUCUGUUCCUUUUGCAAUGCCUCAGAUGUGCAAGAAGGGUGUAUCUGCCCCAGGGAGUCAGGUGACAUAAGAUAUUCAAGCCAGAUUUAGCCCUGGAAUAAGCAGACACAAUUCUCAUUGAAUGGAGUGGUAGUUGUACCUAUUAACACCAGGUUUGUAGAAGAAAAUGUGGUCUAUUCAGCAACAGAGUGAAUUGCAAGGACACAUAAAUAACAAAACUCAUUUUCAUUUUGAGGGACAGAAAGAAGUUGAGUUGGUCAUGAAGAGAGUAGAGGGCUGGACCUCUAACCUACAGAGUCCACGGAUCCAUGCCAAACCCAUUGAUCCCAAAGCUGCCAGCUGGAUUGUCUUCUCUCAUUGAUGAUCCAUGGUGUCCACAACCAGCAGAGCUUUCUAAGAGACUUACUACCAUUUUCAACCUACCCUUCUCUAGCUGCCCAACAAAAGCCAUAGAAAACAUCCUGCACUUACAGCAACACUGAUUUCCAGCAUAACCUUCCUGAGCCACGAUCACACACAACUAGAGCAAAUACAAUGUGAGCCAAAGGCUUAGUGGAACAGGUGAGCGCCAUUGCUCACCCUAUGUUCCCCCAUCCAGUCCAUCUCUCCUGCUCCUCUCUGCAAUUUUUACUGAAGCAAUGGCUCUUACUGUCCUCAGUCAGACAAAAUAUCUGGGUAGCAAACAAAAACACAACAAAUACAAAUAAAACACAAUACUGUACUUGAAUUUCCAUUGUGAUUUCUUCUUUUACUUUAAUUAACUUUAGGCUUGCAAGCUUUAGGCUUGCUAGGCAGUUCUACUGAAAAUUAUCCUAUGCUGAUUGUAGGUUCCAGGCCUGAAACCUUUUCUCACAGCAGUAGUUCUCACUUUCACAACUGAUUCCAUUGACUUCAACAGAGCAACUCAUGUCAGUAUGAGUGUAUUCUCAAAAUUUGGAUUUAUCAUUCUGAAAUUUUCCACAUUAUUGACUGAUUGAUUAAUAUUUGAAAAACCUUCUUUCCCCCAAGUGGGAAGGAAAGAUAAUAAAGGAUUAUCAGUUAAUGAAUUAUUUUUACUCCAACAUUUUUGUCUAGUAUUUUAAAUAUAAGCCCGUGUUAAAAGUUAAUAACCAAAGUAUUCAUCUCUUUUAUCUGAAGCAUUUUGUUGCAAAUGCAUUUAAUUUAUCAACACUACCUUAUCUAAUCUCAGCAAUACUAUUUAGAUUAUGAUGAUACAUGACCUGGACAGUAGAUUAUGUUAUUUCAGAUUCUCACAGAGGUUGUUUCAUAACAAAUUGACAGCAGUUGAAUUUCCAGCUUAGCAUAAGGACUUAUCACUUGGUAUUAAACUGGAUUCUGUAAUUUAGAGCUAAUUGUUAUAUAUUGAUUUACUACAUAGAAUCGUUUAUGCUGUAGGAAG